GACGAACGCUGGCGGCGUGCCUAAUACAUGCAAGUCGAACGCUUUGAUUUUCACCGGAGCUUGCUCCACCGAAAAUCAAAGAGUGGCGGACGGGUGAGUAACACGUGGGCAACCUGCCCAACAGAGGGGGAUAACACUUGGAAACAGGUGCUAAUACCGCAUAAUUUGUUUUUCCGCAUGGAAGAAUAAUAAAAGACGCUUCGGUGUCACUGUUGGAUGGGCCCGCGCUGCAUUAGUUAGUUGGUGGGGUAACGGCCUACCAAGACCAUGAUGCAUAGCCGACCUGAGAGGGUGAUCGGCCACACUGGGACUGAGACACGGCCCAGACUCCUACGGGAGGCAGCAGUAGGGAAUCUUCGGCAAUGGACGAAAGUCUGACCGAGCAACGCCGCGUGAGUGAAGAAGGUUUUCGGAUCGUAAAACUCUGUUGUUAGAGAAGAACAAGUGAGAGAGUUACUGUUCUCACCUUGACGGUAUCUAACCAGAAAGCCACGGCUAACUACGUGCCAGCAGCCGCGGUAAUACGUAGGUGGCAAGCGUUGUCCGGAUUUAUUGGGCGUAAAGCGAGCGCAGGCGGUUUCUUAAGUCUGAUGUGAAAGCCCUCGGCUCAACCGAGGAAGGUCAUUGGAAACUGGGGAACUUGAGUGCAGAAGAGGAGAGUGGAAUUCCAUGUGUAGCGGUGAAAUGCGUAGAUAUACGGAGGAACACCAGUGGCGAAGGCGACUCUCUGGUCUGUAACUGACGCUGAGGCUCGAAAGCGUGGGGAGCAAACAGG
rnacentral:rRNA from 1 species